rnacentral:rRNA from 1 species
GCCUGCAUGAAGUCGGAAUUGCUAGUAAUCGCGGAUCAGCAUGCCGCGGUGAAUACGUUCCCGGGCCUUGUACACACCGCCCGUCACACCAUGGGAGUCGGAAAUGCCCGAAGUCUGUGACCUAACCGUAAGGAAGGAGCAGCCGAAGGCAGGUCGGAUGACUGGGGUGAAGUCGUAACAAGGUACC